CCUUUUCAGUUUUUCCACCAAAAUUCCCGUCUGGAAGCGAAACCCGAGCCCGGCUGAGCCCCUUUGGUGACCUCUGGUGACCUUUGGUGACCUUUGGUGACCCCUGGUGACCUCUGGUGACCUUCAGUGACCUUCGGUGACCUUCAGUGACCUUUGGUGACCUUUGGUGACCUUCGGUGACCCCAGAACUGCCGCCCCUUUCCCAGGGUUAUUGAUCCAUCCCCAGGGUAUUGAUCCAUCCCCAGGGUUAUUGAUCCCUUCCCAGGGUUAUUGAUCCCUUCCCAGGGUUAUUGAUCCCUUCCCAGGGUAUUGAUCCCUUCCCAGGGUUAUUGAUCCAUUCCCAGGGUUAUUGAUCCAUCCCCAGGGUAUUGAUCCAUCCCCAGGGUUAUUGAUCCCUUCCCAGGGUUAUUGAUCCCUUCCCAGGGUUAUUGAUCCAUCCCCAGGGUAUUGAUCCAUCCCCAGGGUUAUUGAUCCCUUCCCAGGGUUAUUGAUCCCUUCCCAGGGUUAUUGAUCCCUUCCCAGGGUUAUUGAUCCCUUCCCAGGGUUAUUGAUCCAUUCCCAGGGUUAUUGAUCCAUCCCCAGGGUUAUUGAUCCAUUCCCAGGGUUAUUGAUCCAUCCCCAGGGUUAUUGAUCCAUUCCCAGGGUUAUUGAUCCCUUCCCAGGGUUAUUGAUCCAUCCCCAGGGUUAUUGAUCCAUCCCCAGGGUUAUUGAUCCAUUCCCAGGGUUAUUGAUCCAUCCCCAGGGUUAUUGAUCCAUUCCCUGGGUUAUUGAUCCAUCCCCAGGGUUAUUGAUCCCUUCCCAGGGUAUUGAUCCCUUCCCAGGGUUAUUGAUCCAUUCCCAGGGUUAUUGAUCCAUUGCCAGGGGGAUUAAUCCUUUUCCAGGGUAUUGAUCCCUUCCCAGGGUUAUUGAUCCAUCCCCAGGGUUAUUGAUCCCUUCCCAGGGUUAUUGAUCCCUUCCCAGGGUUAUUGAUCCAUCCCCAGGGUUAUUGAUCCAUCCCCAGGGUUAUUGAUCCAUCCCCAGGGUUAUUGAUCCAUUCCCAGGGUUAUUGAUCCAUCCCCAGGGUUAUUGAUCCAUUCCCAGGGUUAUUGAUCCCUUCCCUGGGUUAUUGAUCCAUUCCCAGGGUAUUGAUCCAUCCCCAGGGUUAUUGAUCCCUUCCCAGGGUUAUUGAUCCAUCCCCAGGGUUAUUGAUCCCUUCCCAGGGUAUUGAUCCCUUCCCAGGGUUAUUGAUCCCUUCCCAGGGUUAUUGAUCCAUUCCCAGGGUUAUUGAUCCCUUCCCAGGGUUAUUGAUCCAUUCCCAGGGGUAUUGAUCCCUUCCCAGGGUUAUUGAUCCAUUCCCAGGGUUAUUGAUCCCUUCCCAGGGGUAUUGAUCCCUUCCCAGGGUUAUUGAUCCCUUCCCAGGGUUAUUGAUCCAUCCCCAGGGUUAUUGAUCCCUUCCCAGGGUUAUUGAUCCAUUCCCAGGGUUAUUGAUCCAUCCCCAGGGUUAUUGAUCCCUUCCCAGGGUUAUUGAUCCCUUCCCAGGGUUAUUGAUCCCUUCCCAGGGUAUUGAUCCCUUCCCAGGGUUAUUGAUCCAUUCCCAGGGUUAUUGAUCCAUCCCCAGGGUUAUUGAUCCCUUCCCAGGGUUAUUGGUCCCUUCCCAGGGUUAUUGAUCCAUCCCCAGGGUUAUUGAUCCCUUCCCAGGGUUAUUGAUCCAUUCCCAGGGUAUUGAUCCCUUCCCAGGGUUAUUGAUCCCUUCCCAGGGUAUUGAUCCAUUCCCAGGGGAUUGAUCCAUUCCCAGGGUUAUUGAUCCAUUCCCAGGGUUAUUGAUCCAUUCCCAGGGUUAUUGAUCCCUUCCCA